CACUACUACAUCUACUACAGCCGCUUGAUCAAAUUCUACUUCUACUCAAGCAAUCGAGCUUCAUCAAGCCGUCGCUUCUUUAAAACCGCAUUUGUUUCAUUCACGACAACAAGGCCGUCACUUCCGCACUAUUUUACUACUACAAAUCGUUAUUGCUUUCUUUUCAAGCAACCACUUCUAUUGGCGCUUUAACAGGCCACACCUACUACUACCAC
rnacentral:lncRNA from 1 species